GGGCAGCGGAGCCGGUGAAGGAAGCCGCAGGCGCGGAUGGAGGCGAAGAGAUCAGGAGCAGUAAAGGAACACUCUCUUCCCCAGUCAGCUGGGAUACGGAUUUUGUAAGGCCUAGGGACUUUGUCUUUGGAGGUCCUGUCUCCAUAAGGCUUCCCAAAACAAAGAAUGUUCAGAUUGGACUGGCCUUAAAAUGCAGUAUUUAAAACAGCAACAUGUCUGACAGAUCCGAGAAAUGAAAUACGUCCAUUUCUUUUGGCAAGGAGCAGAAGGCAACAUAAAGCAGCUGCAAGAAUUAAUUCAUGGAGAUAGUUGACAUUUUCGAGCUGACUGCCUCUUAGAGAAAAUGAUGUCAUUCUCCAGCAGCCUAAUGACAGUCAUCAGCCUGAGAGGACACAUGCUAAUAAGACUAUCACCAGCAAAGAAUUUUCUGAGCAAAUGUGUACUGGAGACCUUCUGAGGAACCCACUAGAGCCUGCACAUCCCCUUUUCCUAGCAAGGUCAACUGGAAAACAGAAAUUCAGCAAGGUUAAGUGACUUGCCCAAAAUCAGAGCUGAAACUCUAUUUCUCUUCCUCCAAAUCCAGUGUUCUUUCCAAGAUAACGUGCAACUUUCCUUUGGAAUGAUCAGCAGAAUGUCAAAUAAGGAAAGGACAUGUAGAGUUCAUGGGAGGAGACAUUACUUCUGGCUGCAGAAUUAUGGAGGCUUUAUGGGAGACGCCGUAUAUUUUAUCUGUGCGCCUUGAUCACGUGUCUGACCAUGGACAGAGAAACCAGCCUAAUGAGCCUUCUUUACAGGUGACCCUCUAGCCCUUGGUGAACAUCUUGUUUUUAUUCUUUCUUAAUUCCAACACUUAUUCUUGACAACUUUACAAAUGAACAAAUCUUAUUUACUAAAUUGUUGAUGUAGUUUUUGUCUAACACAGGGCUGAUUUUACCCUUGAGAGACGGACACAAGGCUUCAUUUAGGGGAGGAUUAGGUUUGAUGUUUAUUCACUGCACGAGGCAGAUUGGUUUUAGAGACAUGGGUUACAGUCUUGGCUUUUCCUGUUACUGCUUUUGGGUCUUUAGAUGAACAUUUUGCUUUCUCUAGACUCCUUCUUUAUAUAUAAAACAACUACAUCUUUGGACCUAUAAUAACUGUUGGUGGUCUCCAAUGAGACAAGGAUAUGAGGGUGCUUUGUGAAUGGCUACCCAAAUGUAAAAUAUUAUUAUUAUUAUUAUCAUUCAGUAUUAUAAAAUAUUGAUAAAAAUAUUGUCUAGAUUUUUCAGACAUCUUAGAAGUCUUCUUUUUCUUCAGGGAAAAAGAGAACCCUAAAUAUCAAUUAUAAUCAGAAUUUCACAGCAAGUAAAAAUACCUGUGUGUUAAUGAAAUUAAUCCUUAAUGAACCAGAUGACAAUGACUAUUUGAUAUCUGACCUUAAUUUUUUAAACCAGGCAUCAAAACACUUAGAAGUGGGUAGGCAGGGUGAGUACAGAAGAGGAGUGGUGGAAUUCCCUUUACUGUAGGUUAGUUGGAAAGAGAGAAUCAAGAUUCAUAUGACUCUCAGGCAAAAAGAGUGGGAAGAGAUAGACUGAAAUCUCCAUAUUCACAGGUAAGAACAGACAUUUCUUGGCCCAAAUGAUAAAGCAAUGUUCAGCUCUUCUAGUCAAGUCGCCCAUACUGUGGAAUUCCAAGGAAACAGUCUUCACUCCUGUUAAGUGAUAUUCCUGGCCAUUGUCAAUGCGCAAGUCCCACAACAAGGCAGAGACAUUCAUGCUCUUCAUUAACAUUCCCCUAAGGUCUCAGUUUGCAUCUCUCUAUCCAUCUCCUAGCUCUGAAAGGAAGUUUCCUGGGAAACCUUUUCUAUGAAUGGAAUGGAUGAGGUUUGUCCCAUGAGGGAAGAAUUAAAAAAAAAAAAAACAAAAAACACACAGACACACACAACAACAACACAGUACAACAAAAAAACUUCUUUCCCACUGCAGCCAGGAGCAGAUUACGCCUAUCUUUUUUCAAGGACAGGUGGAAAUUCUGACCAUGUGGUAUUCAGUCAUACUAGGAAUGUUGCUCUCUCAAUUUAACAGGAGAGCUUCCUUUCUUACUGAUUAAAAAAGUCAAAAGGGGUUUAAAAUUGCUUAGGUAAAAAGAACUAUGGUUGAGUUUUCUCAGCCACAGAUAAACAUUGGCUCUUUCUGAUCUGCUCUGUUGUCAGCUAUGUAAUGACUCAGUUUGUGCAUUGUUCUCCUUGUUCAGAACAGAAGGGAGAGUAAACCUUAUCCACAGGCUCCUGUUACAAGUAGACCUUCCCCUUCCAUCAGAGGUGGGCUUUGUGCGACACAGUCAGGACAUUCACAAAUUAAAAGAUGAAGAACAGCCCACAUUUUCACCAGCUAUUGAUAUUCCCUAUCCCAGUAAACCAUGGGUUUUCGUCUGAGUAUUUUUUUCCAACUUAAAGAGAGAGAGAGAAAGAGAGAAUAUGUAGGCUAACCAGCUCUAUUGCUAACAAAAGAAAUAGUUAAGAGAGGAAAACAACCAGGGAUGAAAAUCAGGCUUUUAUUUGAAUCUUCUUGCUUCUUUUCAGCACCAGCUUCCUGGCUAACUUGAGCAUCCUAUUCCUGAGCUGGUUGAAAUAUGCCUUUUUUAAAAAAACAACUUUAAUGAGAUAUAAUUUACAUACCAUAAAAUUCAUCUGUUUAAAGUAUGGGACUCAAUGGACCCAGUGGUUUUUAGUAUAUUUAUAGAUUUGUUCAACCAUUACCAUAAUCAAUUUUAUAACAUUUUCAUCAAUCCAAAAGGAAGCCCAGUACCCAUUUGCUGACACUCCCCAUUCUCCCCACUCCACCACCAGCCCUAAGCAGCCACGAAUCUACCUUCUGUCUCUAGAGAUUUGUCUAUUGGAUCUUUCAUACAGAAGCAUGCAAUAAUGUGAUUUGUUUGUUUGUUUUGUUUUUCUCAUGUUUUUUAUUUCUUUAUUUUUUUUAUUAUACUUUAAGUUUUAAGGUACAUGUGCACACGUGCAGGUUAGUUACAUAUGUAUACAUGUGCCAUGUUGGUGUGCUGCACCCAUUAACUCGUCAUUUAACAUUAGGUAUAUCUCCUAAUGCUAUCCCUCCCCCCUCCCCCCACCGCACAACAGGCCCCGGUGUGUGAUGUUCCCCUUCCUGUGUCCAUGUGUUCUCAUUGUUCAGUUCCCACCUAUGAGUGAGAACAUGCGGUGUUUGGUUUUUUGUCCUUUAGAUAGUUUGCUAAGAAUGAUGGUUUCCAGCUUAAAUGUGAUCUUUUAUGACUGGUUUCUUUCACACAGAAUAAUGUUUUCAAGGUUCAUCCAGGCUGUAGCAGCACUUCAUUUCUUUGUAUUGCCAAAUACUAUUCCAUUGUGUGACUAUAACACAUUUUAUGUACCCUUUCAUCUUUUGAUUGACAUUUGGGUUGUUCCCACUUUUUGACACUUAUGAAUAAUGAUGUUGUGAAUAUUCGUGUAUAAACUUUUGUGUGGACAUAUAUUUUCAUUUCUCUUUGGUAUUGACCUAAUAGUGGGAUUGCAAGGUUGUGUGUUUAACACUAUGUUAAAUAUUUUUAGGAAGCCCCAAGCUGUUUUCCAAAGUGGUUGUACCAUUUUACAUUCUCACCAGCAAUGUACCAGGGAUGUUUCAUGAACCUUCUAAUUCUUUCCUACUGUGGAUGUUAGUUGGCAUUUUGUAUUGAAUUUCAACAUUUGAGAAUAAGUCAUGGGUCCAGCUAAUCUGCAUAGACCAAUUUGGAGCAGCAUCCUUAAUGAGUGGUGAACUUUCUCUGUUCUCCAGACAAUAUCAACUCUGCCACUUGAAACCAAGGCUUCUAAUGACAUGAACUGAAGGAAAAGUCUUGAUUUCAGAUUUUUGUUUGGCCUGUUUCAUCUCCAUUUGCCGACCCUGGAUUACGCAGAUAGUGCACUGCUUUUAGUAAUCUAGGCCCUUGUGCCAGACCUUGACUGUCAUACUGCAUUAUAACUGAUGGUUCAAAUGCUUCUUUUACAUAAGGAGUAUUUUCUUCCCAGAGAUACCUCUAAGAUAUUCAUGGCUAACUAAAAAUACUCCUGAAUGCUGUUCUCAAGUAGAGUUUCAAGGUCAACAUGAAAAUUGUUAUCACUCUCUUAUGUGACAUAAAAAAAUCUGUUUUAUCUUUGUAACAAUGCUUUCAUUAAAAAAAAAAAAAAGCUUUGCAAUUCCUCUGCUACACUAGUGUUUUCUCAGAUACCAAACAGGCUAUGCCUUGAUGGCAAGAAGAACAAGUUAUGAUUAUUUAUAUGCCAGUGUGCACUUGUUUCCAUCUAGAGUUAUAAACAAUUAGUUUAUGAUAAUCAAUUGUGACAGCAAAAAGGAUUUCUACUCCACUAGCUUAUAUUUCUAAUAACAGAGAAACAGAAGUAAUUUUGAUAAUGUCUUACGUGUCCAGUGAAGUAAUUUCCCUGUUACUGGCUUUUAGCAAGAAUUUAUAAUUAAAUCAGAGAGAAAAAAACACUGGCAGCCAACAUUGUGUCACAUUUAUUUCAAGUGUAAUGUCAAAAAUUUCAUGGAUGGUCACUUGGACAUUGAAAGAGCAAAAAGAUUAGAGAGCAGAAUGGGAUGAUGAGAGGUUCUGUUCAUUUUCCUGCCUUCCCAAAGUAAGAAGGGCAAAUCAAGUAUAAAUAAAACUAUUGCCUUAAUGAGGCUCUUGAGUUUCUGCCUAAACCAACAACGGGAAUAAUGGAAAUCCGCCCCAAAAGUAAUUCUUUUAUAUCUGUUAUUUAAAAGAAGUUGUCUACACACACACACACACACACACACACACACACAUUCACUCAUUAAGAAUUUGAAAAAAAUAUUUAUCUACCUCCUUCUUUCCUAUGUCUGCAUAUGCAUUUUUCUUUUGAAAAAGGCUGUAGAUGAAAAAGAAAAACAUUUACAGC
rnacentral:lncRNA from 1 species